rnacentral:rRNA from 1 species
AGUGAACGCUGGCGGUAGGCCUAACACAUGCAAGUCGAACGGCAGCACAGUAAGAGCUUGCUCUUACGGGUGGCGAGUGGCGGACGGGUGAGGAAUACAUCGGGAUCUACUUUUUCGUGGGGGAUAACGUAGGGAAACUUACGCUAAUAACGCAUACGACCUACGGGUGAAAGCAGGGGAUCUUCGGACCUUGCGCGAUUGAAUGAGCCGAUGUCGGAUUAGCUAGUUGGCGGGGUAAAGGCCCACCAAGGCGACGAUCCGUAGCUGGUCUGAGAGGAUGAUCAGCCACACUGGAACUGAGACACGGUCCAGACUCCUACGGGAGGCAGCAGUGGGGAAUAUUGGACAAUGGGCGCAAGCCUGAUCCAGCCAUACCGCGUGGGUGAAGAAGGCCUUCGGGUUGUAAAGCCCUUUUGUUGGGAAAGAAAAGCAGCAGGUUAAUACCCCGCUGUUCUGACGGUACCCAAAGAAUAAGCACCGGCUAACUUCGUG